rnacentral:rRNA from 1 species
GUGGGGAAUAUUGGGCAAUGGGGGAAACCCUGACCCAGCGACGCCGCGUGAGGGAAGACGGCCUUCGGGUUGUAAACCUCUUUUGUACGGGAAGAAGGAAGUGACGGUACUGUACGAAUAAGUCCCGGCUAACUACGUGCCAGCAGCCGCGGUAAUACGUAGGGGACGAGCGUUGUCCGGAAUUACUGGGCGUAAAGGGCGCGCAGGCUGUGCUGCAAGUCAGCUGUGAAAUGUCUGGGCUUAACCCGGGCAUGCGGUUGAGACUGCAGUGCUGGAGUGCUGUAGAGGCAAGUGGAAUUCCCAGUGUAGCGGUGAAAUGCGUAGAUAUUGGGAAGAACACCGGUGGCGAAGGCGACUUGCUGGGCAGCAACUGACGCUGAGGUGCGAAAGCCAGGGGAGCAAACGGGAUUAGAUACCCGGGUAGUCC